rnacentral:tRNA from 1 species
GAGACUGUAGUUUAAUGGUUAAAAUAUGUGACUUUUAAUCACCAAGAUAUGGGUUCGACUCCCAUCGGUCUUA